GGCUCAGGAUGAACGCUAGCUACAGGCUUAACACAUGCAAGUCGAGGGGCAGCGGGAUUGAAGCUUGCUUCAAUUGCCGGCGACCGGCGCACGGGUGAGUAACGCGUAUCCAACCUUCCGUACACUCAGGGAUAGCCUUUCGAAAGAAAGAUUAAUACCUGAUGGUAUGAUGAGAUUGCAUGAUAGCAUCAUUAAAGAUUUAUCGGUGUACGAUGGGGAUGCGUUCCAUUAGGUAGUAGGCGGGGUAACGGCCCACCUAGCCGACGAUGGAUAGGGGUUCUGAGAGGAAGGUCCCCCACAUUGGAACUGAGACACGGUCCAAACUCCUACGGGAGGCAGCAGUGAGGAAUAUUGGUCAAUGGACGAGAGUCUGAACCAGCCAAGUAGCGUGAAGGAUGAAGGUCCUACGGAUUGUAAACUUCUUUUAUAAGGGAAUAAACCCUCCCACGUGUGGGAGCUUGUAUGUACCUUAUGAAUAAGCAUCGGCUAACUCCGUG
rnacentral:rRNA from 1 species